GGGCUAUCGAUCGUUGUGGCCUAUCGUGGCUUUACACAUUGCCUAUCGGGGCUAUCGAUCGUUGUGGCCUAUCGUGGCUUUACACAUCGCUUAUCCGGGCUAUCGAUCGACGUGGCCUAUCGUGGCUUUACACAUUGCCUAUCGGGGCUAUUGAUCGGUGUGGCCUAUCGUGGCUUUACACAUCGCUUAUCCGGGCUAUCGAUCGACGUGGCCUAUCAUGGAUCUAUACAUUGCCUAUCGGGGCUAUCGAUCGUUGUGGCCUAUCGUGGCUUUACAUAUCGCCUAUCAUGGCUACCUAUCCACAUACAGCCUACCGUUGCACUUUACGACGAAGCAUAUUGUAAUUCUUAUCCUAUUCCUUUUGUGUGAAUCGGACAUUAAAGUGAAUGCCUAUGCCUAUCGUGGCUUUAUUUUUGGGGGGGUUCCAAUAAAUGGCUUUUAUAGCUUAAGAAGUCUGAUUCCUUCUUAAAAAUUUCUCUUGUUUCAGGAUUGACAUCUCUUCGAUUUCUUAGCAAUCAAGCCAGUCGAUCUACUUCACUUUUGGGGGUAGGCUCCGCCCCUGCCUUCAACAUCAGGCAGGAUCUGCCGGACUACAGCUAGACCCGGACGAAAGGCGGGGCAUAUGCCAAAAGAAUCUUACGAGACUCAAGCAUCUCUUUUAUUUUGAGACUGAUUCGAAUUUCUGUCUUUUAAUUCAACAUGGAAUAAAUGUCAUUCAAACGUUUGCUUGCCUUCUGAGUCUUUAUGGUAGAAAUGAAAGCGUCAGCGUGUCGUAGCUGAAGUUCACCUCCAUCCUCCCCACCACCACCAGGUUGUUCCCUGUUCUUUUGUCCGGGGGUAGGCUCCGCCCCUGCCUUCAACAUCAGGCAGGAUCUGCCGGACUACAGCUAGACCCGGACGAAAGGCGGGGCAUAUGCCAAAAUCUUAUGAGACUCAAGCAUCUCUUUUAUUUUGAGACUGAUUCGAAUUUCUGUCUUUUAAUUUAACAUGGAAUAAAUGUCAUUCAAACGUU